rnacentral:rRNA from 1 species
CCAAGCGUACACGGUGGAUGCCCUGGCAGUCAGAGGCGAUGAAGGACGUGCUAAUCUGCGAUAAGCGCCGGUAAGGUGAUAUGAACCGUUAUAACCGGCGAUGUCCGAAUGGGGAAACCCAGUGUGACUCGUCACACUAUCAUUAACUGAAUCCAUAGGUUAAUGAGGCGAACCGGGGGAACUGAAACAUCUAAGUACCCCGAGGAAAAGAAAUCAACCGAGAUUCCCCCAGUAGCGGCGAGCGAACGGGGAGGAGCCCAGAGCCUGAAUCAGCAUGUGUGUUAGUGGAAGCGUCUGGAAAGGCGCGCGAUACAGGGUGAGAGCCCCGUACACAAAAGCGCAUAUGCUGUGAGCUCGAUGAGUAGGGCGGGACACGUGGUAUCCUGUCUGAAUAUGGGGGGACCAUCCUCCAAGGCUAAAUACUCCUGACUGACCGAUAGUGAACCAGUACCGUGAGGGAAAGGCGAAAAGAACCCCGGCGAGGGGAGUGAAACAGAACCUGAAACCGUGUACGUACAAGCAGUGGGAGCCUCUCUUUAUGGGGGGUGACUGCGUACCUUUUGUAUAAUGGGUCAGCGACUUAUAUUCUGUAGCAAGGUUAACCGCAUAGGGGAGCCGAAGGGAAACCGAGUCUUAAUUGGGCGUUAAGUUGCAGGGUAUAGACCCGAAACCCGGUGAUCUAGCCAUGGGCAGGUUGAAGGUUGGGUAACACUAACUGGAGGACCGAACCGACUAAUGUUGAAAAAUUAGCGGAUGACCUGUGGCUGGGGGUGAAAGGCCAAUCAAACCGGGAGAUAGCUGGUUCUCCCCGAAAGCUAUUUAGGUAGCGCCUCGUGAACUCAUCUCCGGGGGUAGAGCACUGUUUCGGCUAGGGGGCCAUCCCGGCUUACCAACCCGAUGCAAACUGCGAAUACCGGAGAAUGUUAUCACGGGAGACACACGGCGGGUGCUAACGUCCGUCGUGAAGAGGGAAACAACCCAGACCGCCAGCUAAGGUCCCAAAGUCAUGGUUAAGUGGGAAACGAUGUGGGAAGGCCCAGACAGCCAGGAUGUUGGCUUAGAAGCAGCCAUCAUUUAAAGAAAGCGUAAUAGCUCACUGGUCGAGUCGGCCUGCGCGGAAGAUGUAACGGGGCUAAACCAUGCACCGAAGCUGCGGCAGCGACACUUUAGUGUUGUUGGGUAGGGGAGCGUUCUGUAAGCCGUUGAAGGUGUCCUGUGAGGGGUGCUGGAGGUAUCAGAAGUGCGAAUGCUGACAUAAGUAACGAUAAAGCGGGUGAAAAGCCCGCUCGCCGGAAGACCAAGGGUUCCUGUCCAACGUUAAUCGGGGCAGGGUGAGUCGACCCCUAAGGCGAGGCCGAAAGGCGUAGUCGAUGGGAAACGGGUUAAUAUUCCCGUACUUGGUGUUACUGCGAAGGGGGGACGGAGAAGGCUAUGUUGGCCGGGCGACGGUAGUCCCGGUUUAAGCGUGUAGGUGUGUGUUCCAGGCAAAUCCGGUUCACUUUAACACUGAGGCGUGAUGACGAGGCACCACGGUGCUGAAGCAACAAAUGCCCUGCUUCCAGGAAAAGCCUCUAAGCAUCAGGUAACAUCAAAUCGUACCCCAAACCGACACAGGUGGUCAGGUAGAGAAUACCAAGGCGCUUGAGAGAACUCGGGUGAAGGAACUAGGCAAAAUGGUGCCGUAACUUCGGGAGAAGGCACGCUGACACGUAGGUGAAGUGAUUUACUCAUGGAGCUGAAGUCAGUCGAAGAUACCAGCUGGCUGCAACUGUUUAUUAAAAACACAGCACUGUGCAAACACGAAAGUGGACGUAUACGGUGUGACGCCUGCCCGGUGCCGGAAGGUUAAUUGAUGGGGUCAGCGCAAGCGAAGCUCCUGAUCGAAGCCCCGGUAAACGGCGGCCGUAACUAUAACGGUCCUAAGGUAGCGAAAUUCCUUGUCGGGUAAGUUCCGACCUGCACGAAUGGCGUAAUGAUGGCCAGGCUGUCUCCACCCGAGACUCAGUGAAAUUGAACUCGCUGUGAAGAUGCAGUGUACCCGCGGCAAGACGGAAAGACCCCGUGAACCUUUACUAUAGCUUGACACUGAACAUUGAGCCUUGAUGUGUAGGAUAGGUGGGAGGCUUUGAAGCGUGGACGCCAGUCUGCGUGGAGCCGACCUUGAAAUACCACCCUUUAAUGUUUGAUGUUCUAACGUGGACCCGUAAUCCGGGUUGCGGACAGUGUCUGGUGGGUAGUUUGACUGGGGCGGUCUCCUCCUAAAGAGUAACGGAGGAGCACGAAGGUUGGCUAAUCCUGGUCGGACAUCAGGAGGUUAGUGCAAUGGCAUAAGCCAGCUUGACUGCGAGCGUGACGGCGCGAGCAGGUGCGAAAGCAGGUCAUAGUGAUCCGGUGGUUCUGAAUGGAAGGGCCAUCGCUCAACGGAUAAAAGGUACUCCGGGGAUAACAGGCUGAUACCGCCCAAGAGUUCAUAUCGACGGCGGUGUUUGGCACCUCGAUGUCGGCUCAUCACAUCCUGGGGCUGAAGUAGGUCCCAAGGGUAUGGCUGUUCGCCAUUUAAAGUGGUACGCGAGCUGGGUUUAGAACGUCGUGAGACAGUUCGGUCCCUAUCUGCCGUGGGCGCUGGAAGACUGAGGGGGGCUGCUCCUAGUACGAGAGGACCGGAGUGGACGCAUCACUGGUGUUCGGGUUGUCAUGCCAAUGGCACUGCCCGGUAGCUAAAUGCGGAAAAGAUAAGUGCUGAAAGCAUCUAAGCACGAAACUUGCCCCGAGAUGAGUCUUCCCUGAGACUUUGAGUCUCCUGAAGGAACGUUAAAGACGAUGACGUUGAUAGGCCGGGUGUGUAAGCGCAGCGAUGCGUUGAGCUAACCGGUACUAAUGAACCGUGAGGCUUAACC